rnacentral:rRNA from 1 species
GACCGAUAGUGAACCAGUACCGUGAGGGAAAGUGAAAAGUACUUCGAAUAGAAGGUGAAAUAGAUCCUGAAACAGACGCUUACAAGCUGUCGGAGCCCUCGUAAUUAACGAGUAGGGUGACGAUGUGCCUUUUGCAUAAUGAACCUACGAGUUAAUUUUUCCGGCAAGGUUAAGUAGUUUAGCUAUGGAGCCGUAGCGAAAGCGAGUCUGAAUAGGCAUUUAGUCGGAAGAAUUAGACGCGAAACCGAGUGAUCUACCCAUGAGCAGGUUGAAGCUGUGGUAACACAUAGUGGAGGACCGAACCGGUUGACGUUGAAAAGUCUUCGGAUGACUUGUGGGUAGGGGUGAAAGGCUAAUCAAACUCGGAGAUAGCUCGUACUCCCCGAAAUGCAUUUAGGUGCAGCAUCGUGUUAAAUAUGACAGAGGUAGAGCUACUGAUUGGAUGAGGGGGUUUGAUCGCCUAGUAAUUCCUGAUAAACUCCGAAUGCUGUCAUUAUGUUUCACGGUAGUGAGGGCAUGGGUGCUAAGAUCCAUGUCCAAGAGGGGAACAACCCAGACCAUCAGUUAAGGUCCCUAAGUAUAUAUUAAGUUGAUAAACAAGGAUGUUGGCUUAGAAGCAG